AUGGUUCCUUAGACACACCCUCCACUUGGAUAACUGUGGAAAAUCUAGAGCUAAUACAUGCGACCAAGCUCCGACCCGUCGAGGGAAGAGCGCAUUUGUUAGUACAAAACCAACCCGGGUUCGCGCCCGGCCAUCUUGGUGACUCUGAACAACCUCGAGCCGAUCGCACGGCCUCGCGCCGGCGACGCAUCUUUCAAAUGUCUGCCCUAUCAACUGUCGAUGGUACGUGCUAUGCGUACCAUGGUUCUCACGGGUGACGGGGAAUCAGGGUUCGAUUCCGGAGAGGGAGCCUGAGAACGGCUACACAUCCAAGGAAGGCAGCAGGCACGCAAUUACCAAUGCCGACACGGCAGUAUGNGAGCAAAUACAUACGUCUCUC
rnacentral:rRNA from 1 species